rnacentral:rRNA from 1 species
UACGGAAGGCAGCAGGGGGAAUAUUGCACAAUGGGCGAAAGCCUGAUGCAGCUAUGCCGCGUGUAUGAAGAAGGCCUUAGGGUUGUAAAGUACUUUCAUCGGGGAGGAAAAAACAAAACUAAUAAUUUUAUUUCUUGACGUUACCCGAAAAAGAAGCACCGGCUAACUCCGUGCCAGCAGCCGCGGUAAUACGGAGGGUGCUAGCGUUAAUCAGAAUUACUGGGCGUAAAGAGCACGUAGGUGGUUUUUUAAGUCAGAUGUGAAAUCCCUGGGCUUAACCUAGGAACUGCAUUUUUGAAACUGAAAUACUAGAGUAUCGUAGAGGGAGGUAGAAUUCUAGGUGUAGCGGUGAAAUGCGUAGAUAUCUGGAGGAAUACCUGUGGCGAAAGCGGCCUCCUAAACGAAUACUGACACUGAGGGUGCGAAAGCGUGGGGAGCAAACAGGGAUUUAGAUACC